GAUGAACGCUGGCGGCGUGCCUAAUACAUGCAAGUCGAGCGAACAGACGAGGAGCUUGCUCCUCUGACGUUAGCGGCGGACGGGUGAGUAACACGUGGAUAACCUACCUAUAAGACUGGGAUAACUUCGGGAAACCGGAGCUAAUACCGGAUAACAUGUUGAACCGCAUGGUUCAACAGUGAAAGACGGUCUUGCUGUCACUUAUAGAUGGAUCCGCGCCGCAUUAGCUAGUUGGUAAGGUAACGGCUUACCAAGGCAACGAUGCGUAGCCGACCUGAGAGGGUGAUCGGCCACACGGGAACUGAGACACGGUCCAGACUCCUACGGGAGGCAGCAGUAGGGAAUCUUCCGCAAUGGGCGAAAACCUGACGGAGCAACGCCGCGUGAGUGAAGAAGGUCUUCGGAUCGUAAAACUCUGUUAUUAGGGAAGAACAAAUGUGUAAGUAACUAUGCACGUCUUGACGGUACCUAAUCAGAAAGCCACGGCUAACUACGUG
rnacentral:rRNA from 1 species